AUACGGAGGGUGCAAGCGUUAUCCGGAUUCAUUGGGUUUAAAGGGUACGUAGGCGGAUAGAUAAGUUAGUGGUGAAAUCCCGAAGCUCAACUUCGGAACUGCCAUUAAAACUGUCUAUCUUGAAUUUGGUUGAAGUGGGCGGAAUAUGACAUGUAGCGGUGAAAUGCAUAGAUAUGUCAUGGAACACCAAUAGUGAAGACAGCUCACUAAGCCAAUAUUGACGCUGAGGUACGAAAGCAUGGGUAGCGAACAGGAUUAGAAACCCCGGUAGUCC
rnacentral:rRNA from 1 species